rnacentral:tRNA from 1 species
UGUCCAGGGAUGGGAACCGAACCCACAAUGUUCCGCUUACCAGGCAGAUGCCAUGUCCACUAGGUUCCCAUCCCUGGAC